rnacentral:rRNA from 1 species
GUGGGGAAUAUUGGACAAUGGGCGAAAGCCUGAUCCAGCCAUGCCGCGUGUGUGAAGAAGGUCUUCGGAUUGUAAAGCACUUUAAGUUGGGAGGAAGGGCAGUAAGUUAAUACCUUGCUGUUUUGACGUUACCGACAGAAUAAGCACCGGCUAACUUCGUGCCAGCAGCCGCGGUAAUACGAAGGGUGCAAGCUUUAAUCGGAAUUACUGGGCGUAAAGCGCGCGUAGGUGGUUUUGUAAGUUGGAGGUGAAAUCCCCGGGCUCAACCUGGGAACUGCCUCCAAAACUGCAUGACUAGAGUACGGUAGAGGGUAGUGGAAUUUCCUGUGUAGCGGUGAAAUGCGUAGAUAUAGGAAGGAACACCAGUGGCGAAGGCGACUACCUGGACUGAUACUGACACUGAGGUGCGAAAGCGUGGGGAGCAAACAGGAUUAGAAACCCUAGUAGUCC